rnacentral:lncRNA from 1 species
UCAUAAAAUAUUAAAAAGGAUACAAUAGUCUAACAAAAGUUGUUCCAUAGAAGUUAUGUAUACAAUCUAUAUGUCCAAUUGUAGCUUUGGCUACAUUCAAAUGAAAAUAUCGAAAAAUAAAUCGACAUAAUAGCUCUCCCUAUAACUUAAAAACAUCUACAAGCUAAUAGGGUUGAUCAAGAAGCAACAUCUAGCCUUCAAUUAGUGGACUAAUUGCAGUAACCUGAACAAUAAUAUGCACAAAACUGUAAAAGUUAUACUUUAGGAUUCAGCUAAACAUCCACGUAUGGAUUAACUCUGCCAAAGCCGCUUGAUGGAUCCUAUGCUUUUUGUGAGUGGCAUAGUACACACAACAUGGCAUGUCAAAUAAUUGCCGAAUCUAAGUUCUAAAUCUAAAUUUCUGUAGAAGAAAAUCAUGCAUGUGUGCACCUCUGAUAAAUGAUAUCACAAUAAUUUCCGCAUGAAAAAAACCAUACAUGGUUAUUCUUAUGCUUCAGGAAAUCAAAUGUAUAUAUAAUAAAUGAUUCAUCUUAUGCUUCAGGAAAUCAAACGUAUAUUACAGUCAAUGGUGAAGAUGUGUGCAGCAUAUUAGCGAAAAUCGUUUGUACAAUCUAGAAGACAAAUAACUUAUUUAAUAGAGAACAAAACUUCCAAGUAAUUAAAAGUUACAAAAACAAAGUAGAUAAUAUGUGCAAGAAUCCAUGCAAUGUAUUGGAGGUAAAUCCGACCUGAAAUGGAAAUAGAGAAGCAUUGCAUGACCUCUCGGCAGAUCAAAACCUAUAUUAUUUUCUUUACACUCUGACUUGGAUUGGUAUUUAGUUCAACACCUAUAGAGUUAGAAGCUACACUACUUUUGCAGAUGAUUUAUAAGCGUUUGAAAAUUAAAGAAGAAAAACAUGCAUAUAAUGUGAUCAUAUAUAUACAUGUAUUAGCUUUUGAAAGGCCUUGUUUUUUGGCAAAAAGCUUUUGAAGAGCUUGUGCUUUUCUGAUUCUCUAAUAAUAGGUAGACAUUAAAUUUAAUUUUAGAAGGGUAAUUAAGAGACUACUACUACUGCCCAGUAAUAAAUAUGUGGUUUAGUACAGCCUCGGUAAUUGAUCUUUUAUUCUAAUUCGGAUCAAGCAAUGUCUACAAAACAAAAAAAAGUAAUGAGUCUGUGUAUCCUUGCUGAAGAUUAUUGGCUUUCCAAACUAUGCAUGUACCUUUCCCAACUAAUUAGCUUUCCAAACCAUGCAUGUAAUCUUGAACGGAUCAAGCAAUGUCUAAGAAAAGAAGAAAUGAGUCUAUGUAUCCUUGCUAAAGAUUAUUGGCUUUCCAAACUAUGCAUGUACCUUUCCCAACUAAUUAGCUUUCCAAACCAUGCAUGUACCCUUUCAAGGCAUAUUUUCACCUGCAAAACACGAGCAGAUAAACCUCAAAACUUACAAAAUGGAUCAUAAUACCACAAGAAAGUUUUAGUGCAAUCAGAACAGACGAUAUAGAAAAUUGAACAAAAAUUAGAAUAACUAAUGAUCUGAUAGGGUUAGUAAAGAAAACAUAAGUUCAGGCUAAGAUUUAAUAUAAGGGAAGGAGGAAACAAAUACAUGGAAAAUAUUGGGCCAAAGGGAUUUCGGAAAAUCAUACUGUGCCAACGAAGUAGUAACUAUUCAUCUAUGCACUAUAAGAGAGUCACCGAUACGAGGAUCCAUGUGUCAAAAUUAUGAUUUUCUACUCUUCCCCGAAGCUUAAUUCAAAUAUACAAAAACUUUCAACUAAUUGAUGGGCCUUAGAUGGAACUAAAUGUUGUAACACAAACAGGUGAAUGUCAAUAAAUGGAAGUACCUAGUAGAAGCAAAGGUUGUUGUUCACAUUCUCUUCAGAAGCAUGCAUCUUAUUGAUAAAAGCACACGCCAGGAAGAAGUGUGUUGGGAUAACAAUAUUCAGUUUUGGACCCCCUUUUCCACUUUGUAGUAAAAGACAUCGUUGUAGUGGCACCAAAAUGAAGU